rnacentral:rRNA from 1 species
UAAGGAAUAUUGCUCAAUGGGAGAAAUCCUGAAGCAGCAACGCCGCGUGGAGGAUGAAGGGUCUAUGACUUGUAAACUCCUGUAAAGAAGGAAAAAAUUCCCAUUAGAUGGGAGAUGAUGGUACUUCUGGAGUAAGCCCCGGCUAACUACGUGCCAGCAGCCGCGGUAAUACGUAGGGGGCAAGCGUUGUCCGGAUUUACUGGGUGUAAAGGGUGCUCAGGCGGAUUUGUAAGUCAGAGGUGAAAUCUUACAGCUUAACUGUGAAACUGCCUUUGAUACUGCAAGCCUAGAGUAUGGAAGAGAGUGAUGGAAUAUCUGGUGUAGCAGUGAGAUGCGUAGAUAUCAGAUAGAACACCAAUGGCGAAGGCAGUCACUUGGUCCAUUACUGACGCUAAAGCACGAAAGCGUGGGUAGCAAACA